rnacentral:lncRNA from 10 species
GUCAGAUUGUGAAGAAAAAGUGGAAAAAAAGAAGCAUGUGUAUCGGAGAUACUGAACAGAGAAUAGAGUGGGUGGAGUAAGCCUGAGCCGGCUGCUGGAAGACUGCUCCGAACCUCAUCCCCUUGGUGCUCCUGAUGCGGGCGAUCCUCCGACUGCUCGGCGCCAACCACAACAUGCUACCCACCGUGAGAGAGCAGGACGCGGGCUGCUCUAGUCAGGACUUAUCGUCUAUCAUACUGAUUGACGAAACCAAGAGUGAGCAGAAAAAAUAAACACGAACAGAGGCUGCAGUGUAUGGGCCAGUCAGCUGGGAGUUUUAGUAUUUGGCCUUGGUGAUCCUACUCUCAUGGAACCAGUCAUAACCAAUUUCAAAGCCUUUGGCUUGGAAUGUCCUAAACACAUUGCACAAAGCUACUCUGCAUGGUUAUCUUUAAUCACGUCACAUAGGAACCAAUUAUGAUGUAGAAUGUUGCCACUCAAAGUGUGAUCUUUGGAGAAAAGCAUUAUCACCUACUGGAAACCUGUGAGAAAUGCAGAAUCUCCAUCCCCACCCCAGAAAUGCUGAAUCGGAUUCUGCGUUUAAUCAAGGACCUCAGGUGCCCAAAUGUGACCGACGCUGCCAUUCACAGUAAAAGGCCAAACAAGAUGGCCAGGCCCUUUGCCCUCAUUAAGAAUGUAAUCUAGAGCUGUAGUCCUCAAGCAUUUAUCAUCACAUACCCAUCAAUAAAAUUUGUUGAGUGUGCACCUCCAAUAUGUUAAUAUAUUUAUUUAUAAAUUAAUC